rnacentral:tRNA from 1 species
GGGGCCGUGGGGUAGCUUGGUUAUCCUUUCCGCUUUGGGAGCGGGAGACCCCGGUUCGAAUCCGGGCGGCCUCA